rnacentral:rRNA from 1 species
CCAGACUCCUACGGGAGGCAGCAGUGGGGAAUAUUGCACAAUGGGGGAAACCCUGAUGCAGCGACGCCGCGUGAGUGAAGAAGUAUUUCGGUAUGUAAAGCUCUAUCAGCAGGAAAGAAAAUGACGGUACCUGACUAAGAAGCCCCGGCUGACUACGUGCCAGCAGCCGCGGUAAUACGUAGGGGGCAAGCGUUAUCCGGAUUUACUGGGUGUAAAGGGGGCGCAGACGGCGAUGCAAGCCAGGAGUGAAAGCCCGGGGCCCAACCCCGGGACUGCUCUGGAAACUGCGGCGCUGGAGUACGGGAGGGGCAGGCGGAAUUCCUGGUGUAGCGGUGAAAUGCGUAGAUAUCAGGAGGAACACCGGCGGCGAAGGCGGCCUGCUGGACCGUGACUGACGUUGAGGCUCGAGAGCGUGGGGAGCAAACAGGAUUAGAUACCCUCGUACAC